rnacentral:rRNA from 1 species
GACGAACGCUGGCGACGUGCCUAAUACAUGCAAGUUGAGCGCUGAAGGUUGGUACUUGUACCAACGGAUGAGCAGCGAACGGGUGAGUAACGCGUGGGGAAUCUGCCUUUGAGCGGGGGACAACAUUUGGAAACGAAUGCUAAUACCGCAUAAAAACUUUAAACACAAGUUUUAAGUUUGAAAGAUGCAAUUGCAUCACUCAAAGAUGAUCCCGCGUUGUAUUAGCUAGUUGGUGAGGUAAAGGCUCACCAAGGCGAUGAUACAUAGCCGACCUGAGAGGGUGAUCGGCCACAUUGGGACUGAGACACGGCCCAAACUCCUACGGGAGGCAGCAGUAGGGAAUCUUCGGCAAUGGACGAAAGUCUGACCGAGCAACGCCGCGUGAGUGAAGAAGGUUUUCGGAUCGUAAAACUCUGUUGGUAGAGAAGAACGUUGGUGAGAGUGGAAAGCUCAUCAAGUGACGUAACUACCCA